UGUAUCGUCGAAUGCUCCAUC
rnacentral:piRNA from 1 species